rnacentral:rRNA from 1 species
AACUUCGGGAAACCGGAGCUAAUACCGGAUAAUAUUUUGAACCGCAUGGUUCAAAAGUGAAAGACGGUCUUGCUGUCACUUAUAGAUGGAUCCGCGCUGCAUUAGCUAGUUGGUAAGGUAACGGCUUACCAAGGCAACGAUGCAUAGCCGACCUGAGAGGGUGAUCGGCCACACUGGAACUGAGACACGGUCCAGACUCCUACGGGAGGCAGCAGUAGGGAAUCUUCCGCAAUGGGCGAAAGCCUGACGGAGCAACGCCGCGUGAGUGAUGAAGGUCUUCGGAUCGUAAAACUCUGUUAUUAGGGAAGAACAUAUGUGUAAGUAACUGUGCACAUCUUGACGGUACCUAAUCAGAAAGCCACGGCUAACUACGUGCCAGCAGCCGCGGUAAUACGUAGGUGGCAAGCGUUAUCCGGAAUUAUUGGGCGUAAAGCGCGCGUAGGCGGUUUUUUAAGUCUGAUGUGAAAGCCCACGGCUCAACCGUGGAGGGUCAUUGGAAACUGGAAAACUUGAGUGCAGAAGAGGAAAGUGGAAUUCCAUGUGUAGCGGUGAAAUGCGCAGAGAUAUGGAGGAACACCAGUGGCGAAGGCGACUUUCUGGUCUGUAACUGACGCUGAUGUGCGAAAGCGUGGGGAUCAAACAGGAUUAGAUACCCUGGUAGUCCACGCCGUAAACGAUGAGUGCUAAGUGUUAGGGGGUUUCCGCCCCUUAGUGCUGCAGCUAACGCAUUAAGCACUCCGCCUGGGGAGUACGACCGCAAGGUUGAAACUCAAAGGAAUUGACGGGGACCCGCACAAGCGGUGGAGCAUGUGGUUUAAUUCGAAGCAACGCGAAGAACCUUACCAAAUCUUGACAUCCUUUGACAACUCUAGAGAUAGAGCUUUCCCCUUCGGGGGACAAAGUGACAGGUGGUGCAUGGUUGUCGUCAGCUCGUGUCGUGAGAUGUUGGGUUAAGUCCCGCAACGAGCGCAACCCUUAAGCUUAGUUGCCAUCAUUAAGUUGGGCACUCUAAGUUGACUGCCGGUGACAAACCGGAGGAAGGUGGGGAUGACGUCAAAUCAUCAUGCCCCUUAUGAUUUGGGCUACACACGUGCUACAAUGGACAAUACAAAGGGCAGCGAAACCGCGAGGUCAAGCAAAUCCCAUAAAGUUGUUCUCAGUUCGGAUUGUAGUCUGCAACUCGACUACAUGAAGCUGGAAUCGCUAGUAAUCGUAGAUCAGCAUGCUACGGUGAAUACGUUCCCGGGUCUUGUACACACCGCCCGUCACACCACGAGAGUUUGUAACACCCGAAGCCGGUGGAGUAACCUUUUAGGAGCUAGCCGUCGAAGGUGGGACAAAUGAUUGGGGUGAAGUCGUAACAAGGUAGCCGUAUCGGAAGGUGCGGCUGGAUCACCUCCUUU